UCUACGGGGGGCAGCAGUGAGGAAUAUUGGUCAAUGGACGCAAGUCUGAACCAGCCAUGCCGCGUGCAGGAAGACGGCUCUAUGAGUUGUAAACUGCUUUUGUACGAGGGUAAAUCCCGAUACGUGUAUCGGGUUGAAAGUAUCGUACGAAUAAGGAUCGGCUAACUCCGUGCCAGCAGCCGCGGUAAUACGGAGGAUGCGAGCGUUAUCCGGAUUUAUUGGGUUUAAAGGGUGCGCAGGCGGUCUGUUAAUUCAGCGGUCAAAGCCCGGGGCUCAACCCCGGCCCGCCGUUGAAACUGGCAGUCUCGAGUUGGAGAGAAGUAUGCGGAAUGCGCGGUGUAGCGGUGAAAUGCAUAGAUAGCGCGCAGAACUCCGAUUGCGAAGGCAGCAUGCCGGCUCCACACUGACGCUGAGGCACGAAAGCGUGGGUAUCGAACAGGAUUAGAUACCCCAGUAGUC
rnacentral:rRNA from 1 species